ACCACCGAGGUCUCCUCUAUUUUCCUCUUCUCUGUAAGGAUCUCCUUCAAGAAUUUGGAAUAAGCAGGCAUUUGUGAGAGCACUUCUGUGAAUGGUAAGUUCACAUGAACCUGUUUCAGCACAUCUAUAAAUCUCUCAAAUUGCUUGUCCAGCUUUUCUCUAUAUAGCUUUUGAGGGAAAGGUAAAGCAGGCAUAUGCUCGCUCUCAUCGUGUUCCUCCCUUAUUGAUUUUUCUUCCUUCUUCUUCUUCUCAGUUUUCAUCUGGCCUUUCUUCAUUUUAUCAUCAACAUUUUUCAGCUGCUCCCCACUUUCUUUUUCGAGUUUAACAUCAUUUUGGAUCGGGGUGGGAUCUUUCAACACUUACCCACUUCUCAGGGUUACAACAUUCACUGUUUCUUUGGGAUUCUUUUUAGUGUCAGCAGGGAGAGUUCCUGGAUCCCGCUCGGAUAAUAUUGUUGCAAUCUGUCCCACUUGUCUCUCCAGGUUUUGAAAACCAGUGCCCAAUUCUUUGAUAGAUGCUCCAGGAGCGUCCAGCCUCUCAUAUGUCUUGAUAAUGAAAGCCUUCAUUAAAUCCUCUAGACCAGCCUGAAUGGGCUUAUAAGGCUGAAAUUGUUGCCUCUACUGAUUUUGGUAUGUUGGAGCUCCUUGUCCCUAGAGUCUAGAGUUAUUUUGUUUCCAAGCAUUCGCAGUACCUCCAGGUGAACUCCAUGAAAAAUCGGGGUUCCUCUGACCCAUUGCAUUAAAAUUGAAGUUCCCUACAGCAUUUACUUCCUUAGUUGAGGCUUGGCACUCAUGAGUAGGGUGACCUUUUCCACAAAUAUCACAUGCUAUAUGAGGCUCAUUUUGUAUCGAGGCUAAGGUCAGGUUUCGUAUUUCUUUGGCCAUAGCAUCAAGUUGUACCUGCACAGAAGUAGUAGCAUCAACUUGGUGAGCGCCAGUUGAUCUUUUUCUUUCAGCACUCUCAAAGGGCCACUGAUUUGCAUCUUCAGAUAACUAAUCAAGGAUUGUGACUAUCUCCUCCGGAGUCUUCUUCAUCAAUGGGCCUCCAGCUGCAUUGCUCAAUGUUCUACAUGAGGCCGGUGUCAAUCCAUCCCAAAAGUCCUGGAGUUGCAUCUAGAGUUCAAUUCUGCUAUGUUGACACUUUCGCACAAUCUCCUUAAACCUCUCCCACGCUUCAAAAAUAGUUUCAGUAUCUUUCUGGCAGAAGUUAUGGAUUUCUCUUCUAAACUUGUCCGUUUUAGCUGAGGAGAAAUAUUUAUCAAGGAAUUUUCUGGUCAUCUCAUCCCAUGUUCUAAUUGAUCCCGUGGGCAAGCUCCAAAGCCACUACUUUGUAUCAACUUUGAGCAAAAAGGGGAAGGCCCUUAAGUACACUACAUCUUGUGACACCCUAUUAUAUUGAAAUAUGUUCAUAAUCUCCUCGAAGUCCAGUAGAUGUGUUUUUGGAUCUUCAUUUGGCUUCCCUUUGAAGACACAUCAAUUCUGCAGAGUUUGAAGCAACCCUUGAUUCAAUUUAAAGUUGUUUGCUGCAAUUGGAGGUGGUCUAACACUUGAUAAAACUUGAUUGUAGACCGGUCUAGCAUAAUCUCCAAGUUGUCUCCUAGGCCCAGGAGCUAUAUUUCCGAACUGGUCUAUAGCCAAGGGUUGAUUUUGAGCAAUUCUCCGACCCCUCUCUUCUUCAUAGAUAAUCUGUGCAUCUCUAAUAGCUGCUUCCUCAGCAUCCCGUGCAGCUUAUUCUCUUCGUUGGGAUGCUUCUCUUGCAGCCAAAUCUACAUUAUCAUCACCAUUUCCAACCAUAGUCUCUUUGGUUGAGGAUUGCCCAACCUUUUCUGAUGUCUCAGUGAGAUUUCUCUCCUUCCUCAACUGUCACAGUUGUUUUUCUAUCUCUGGCUCGUAUGGUAGCACUUCUUUAGCAGAAGCUCGAGUCAUGCACCACUCUAAACAUGUCACUUGCGCACAGUCAAAGAAUACCAAACGUAAAAAGAGAAAAAGAAAAAUUCCUGAAUUAGAAGUACAAACUAUUUCAAACACUAUUGAUUGUCAAUCCCCGGCAACAACGCCAAAAUUUUACGAGCUCGAAACACACACUUAAAUUAUGCUCGCUAUUAAUAUAUAGUAUAGUAUAAUAUCGUAUCUACAGGGAUUGGAUUUAAACAAUAUUCUCGUAGUUUCUAGCUUGAUCUCUAUCCAAGAGAAUCAAUAAUUGAGGUUUAUAUGAUUUUUAACUAAAAUUAACUAAGAAUCUAAAGCUAUUGACUAAUGACAAUCGAAACAAAUAUAAGCAAGGAAGUUAUCAAUGGGAUAAAAUAGGGGUUGAUAGGAUAGGUGCAAGAUAAUUAUUUGGGAUCUAACUCUAGGUAAUUCACUUCUAAUGUUCAAGUGAGUCUCUCGAAUUCACUCAAUUAUUAGUUCAAACGUUCAGCAAAAACUUCUCUCUCGAUUAAGUUUUAACCUCACAAAAUGAACCAAUCUAAGCACAUGAAGAUAUGCAAGAAUGCGUAGUGGAUUGGUCUUUAGUAAAACCUCUUUCGAUUAUUUUCCUAACUAGGUUUAGUCAAUGAUUCAACUAGCCUGUUUCGAUUACUAAAAAGAAUUAAUGAACUCAACCAACAAUAUAAUGCAAAGUUAUCACAAGUUAUACCUCUCUCGAUUACAUGAACAAGUGAGUAUAUAUGCAAUAAUUAAAUUAUCCAAAAAUGCUUCAAUACAUAAAACUAGAGUUAUAAUCCACAAACAAUCAUCAACACACCAAAUCCAUCAAACCCUAAAGAGAACUACUCCAUAGAUAUUGAGCAAUUCAUCACAAAUAUAGUUAAAGUAAUAGAAAACAUAAAUUCAAUCCAAACUCGUGUCUUGAGUGAGGAAGGAAUGAUGAAAUCCUUGUGCUCGUGUUCUUCCAACUCCUCCUUACCCUCCUUAGGUUGAAUAUGUGUCAAAAGUCCAGGAAAUAAUAUUUUUCCAUGUAUUUAUACCAAGUAGGGUCGGACCCAGAUGAAAUCACCUUCUCCUAACCGAAAUAGGAAAAUAACUCUGUAAAUAUUGUACAGGCGCGCUGCAUGGGGCGACGCGCCAUGCGGGGGAUUAGUGGGGAAAUCCAGAGAGCUCUGUGCAUAUGGAAUUCACAUGAUCACAGAUUGAUUUCAAGAAAGUAGCAGGUUGUAUAUGAAAGACUUAGAAGGAAGAAGUACAUUCGAACAAGUUCUGGGCAUGAAUUAGUUUCCUGGGAGUUUUAGCAAGGCAUGAAGAUGGGCAAGCAAUAAAUAUAGGAAACUCAUGUAUACAUAAACAUAGUAGACUAAGCAGGUUUAAGAUGAUCAGAAGUCACACACAAUGAGCAGAUAUAAAAAUUUUGGAUUUAGGCAGGUUUGGGUGCUAGAAAAUACAAGACUGCAGACUAACUUCAAGAGUGGAUAAGAUUGCAAACAAAGACAACACAACACCGAAAUCAUAUUGGUUCACAAAAAAAAAUUCGAACAACAUGGAUAUACAGAGCAUGAACACAAGUAAAAGAUGGUAGAAUUGCAAGAGUCAAGGUACUCACUAGUCACAAAUUAACGAGCAAGUAAAGGAAAAAUCAAAUGCCAAGAGUAGUUCAGUCAGCUGUAGUAGAGAAAGAACAGCAUGACUCCCGAAAUCCCAGUGCGUCAGAGUUCCCAAGGGUUUGAAGUGAACCCCGGGCAGUGCCUGCACUGAGAAAAGAGAAACAAUUGAAUUCUGGUGGCCUUGGCUUUAAGUCGGCCAAGGUCUCAAAAUUUAGAAUAGUAGAACGAGUGAGAGUAAGAGAGUAAUAGCAGUGGUUAAGGUCUAUCCUAGGAGAGUUGGGGGAUGGGUUUAUAUAGUAGCAAAAUUAAACACACAAACAAGGGAAAAUAAUCAAUUAAACAAAGAAAAAGGAAAGAAUAGCAUGCGAAAUCGAUUCAGAAUCAAUUUAGGAGAAAUCAAGUAAACCCUAGUUCAAGAUGGAGAACAAAAAAAUAGCAAAAGAUCUCACUGAAUCGGACCCAUAUGGCCUAGUAGUGAGUAUAUAUGGACAAAAUAUCGUCUAAAUCUAGAAAAUCGAAGGCGAUGGCACUUGAUUUGAGUGAUUGGUACUUGCCAAAAAUGGGGCCAGUACUAUGUAAUAUCAUAGUCUUGUAAGAAACAACGAUAUAAUCCAUAAAAGGUAAGUGAAUCAUGUAGGAGAUCCAUGGCUUGAUCGGAUUUGGUGAAGACUGGGGAAGGCGGCUGCUAGGGUUUCUUUCAGAGAAGGGAGAACAUUUGAGAGGGUUUAGGGGCGGUUGUUAGGUAGGAAAUGAGGUAGGGUUUCCGGGUUUGGUUAAUUUAAAGGGCUUGGGUGAGCUAGGGUCGUUGAUCUUGAGAGAUCAACGGCCAGGAUUUAAGAGAUGAACGGGGCGGGUCGAGAAAACGGGUUCCGGCCGGGUUGGAAUAAAAGGGUCAUUUGGUUUGGGCCAGGGGAGAUUGGGCUACGGUUUAGGCCAUCUUUUGGUCCGAAAAUUGGCUUAGGAUUGAGGUAUGAACUAAAAUAUGCGAAAAUUAUUUAAAAUAAUUUAUAAAAAUAAUUUAUAAAUAAUACAAUAUUACUUAUGCAGUAAAAUGAUUUAAAAUAAUAGCUUAACAUUAUAAAAAUAUAAAAAUACUAUUUUUUCAUGAAUAAUAUAAUAAAUAUAAUUAUGCGUAGAACAUAGGCUAUUAUUUCAAAAUUAUGUAAAUAGCUCAAAAAUGCAGAUAUAAUUAUAUGAAAUGAAGUAAAAAUAUUAUAAACAUGUAUGUGGAUGUAAAUAAUAAGUUUGGAUGAUUAAGUCAUCACAAAAUAUUUUAAAAGGAUAAUUAAUAAAUAUUUGAACAAUUUAAAUGCAAUAAAAUUAAUUUUAAAGCCUUAACAUUAUGAAAAUAUUACAGAAAAUACUUAUAUGGCUCUUGUAAAUUUGUGAUGAUGAAAAAAGGAUAUUUUGAAAAUAUACAUGAUAUUUAUAAAAUAUGAGGACAAAAUUGGGUAUCAACAAUAUACAAAACAAAACGAAUAUAAUCAUAAAUUCGUGUUGCAUGACCCCGAAACUCCAUAAAUGAACUCGAAAGUCAUGGUGAAGCAUUGAGUAUUGGUCACUAGGUUGUUUUCUAUAGACCUACUAAAUGUUAAGUCAAUCAGAGUCCGUCAAAAAAUUUCUACUAAGUUAGCAUGUACUAAUAUACACUAAAAAUUGGAUAUAAUCACAAAUUCGUGUUGCAUGAUCCCGAAUUAUCAUUAAAUAAACCCAAAACGCCAAACAUAGAUGUUAGUCAUGGAAAAGCGGCGAGUAUUUGUCACUAGGCCGAUUUCUAUGGACCUACAAAAUUCCAGGCUAAUCGAAAUCCGUCAAAAAAAUUCUACAAAAUCAGCAUGUACUAAUAUACAUGAAAAAGUGGAUAAUCAUAAAUUCGUAUUCCAUGACCCUGAAAAUCAUGGUGAAGCAAGGAGUAUUGCUCGCUAGGCCAUUUCCUAUGGACCUAGAAAAAUUCAGUCCAAUUAGAGUCCGACAAAAAAAUUCUACAAAAUUAACAUGUACUAAUACAUAUAAAAAAGUGGAUAUAAUUACAACUUGGUGUUGCAUGACCCCAAAGCGUCAUUAAAUGAACCUGAAACGCCAAAAUGCAAUGUUAGUCAUGGUGAAGCGAUGAGUGUUAUUCACUAAGCCUUUUUCUAUGGACCUACAAAAUUUCAGGCCAAUCGGAAUCCGUCAAUUUUUUUUUUACAGAAUUAGCAUUUACUAAUACACACAAAAAAUUAGGUAUAAUCAUCAAUUUGUUUUGAAUAAAUCCAAAACACCAAAAAAUAAACUCGAAAGUCAUGACGAACCGAUAAGUAUUAGUCACUAAGCCAUUUUCUAUGGACCUACAAAGUUUCAGGCCAACCGGAGUCCGUCAAAAAAAAUCCUACAAAAUCAGCAUGUACUAAUACAAAUAAAAAAAUGAAUAUAAUUAUAAUUUUUUUGCAGCAACUAAGAAGAAGAAGAAGAAGAAGAAAGGAGGAAGAAAAGGCCUGAAAUUAUAUAUAUUUUGAGUACUAGUUAAAUAUUUUUUUAAAAGUGGAUACAAGUUAAAUAGAUCAUGUAAAUAUCAUUUAUAUCUUCUUUGGGUAGAGGUAAGGUUUGCGUACAUUCUACCCUCCCCAGACAGGCAGACUCCACUAGUGGAAUUACACGUUAUUAUUGUUGUUGGGUACAAGGUAAAUAGGACGACAAGUAAGGCACCCCUGAAAUUUUUACCUACUUUUUUCUGACUUGUAACUCCGCCCUCGAUAACCUGUGAUUUGUGAACAUUGUAUGGACUAGAUUGUUCGGUUCAAUCAAUAAUGUGUCCAAAAUUCCAUGGUCCUACUUGUCUCAUUUUGACGAUUUUUCUCUUGUUUGAUAUCUACAUCUUAAGUUACAAUCUUCAAAUUUUACUGUCCUGAAUAUCUUACUUGGGUUAAUAUACGAUAGCAUCCUUCGAGGCAGACGAUUACCUGUGUGUUCAGUAAAACUCAACAACUUUAGUUUAAAUUUUAUAUUUAUAUUAAAAAGUUCACAAAAUAUGUACAAAACAUUUUCCAUAAAGUUUCUCUUAUAACACAGACCAACAAACGAUUUCAAUAAACUAAAUUAGACAAGAUUAAAGAUUGAAAAAUAAGUCCACUUAAAGAUAAAAAUUUACUUGGUUCUUCACUUCUUUGCAACAAAUGACAUUGAAACAAUAAUACACUGAAAUAAUUUCAUAAAUAAAUCGCUAUUCAACAAUAGCACAAUCCACAAAGAUACAAUUUUGAGGGAAGAGGAAGAGAAAAUAAAUCAAGAAACUCGACAUCCUCUCAUGUCGAUCCAGGCAAUUAAUCCUUCAAAUCUUAGCUUGGAACCUGUAAUUCAGACAGAAUUUAUGAUUAAUGAGUUUAAGUUCCUUACUUUAAAAAAAAAAGAAGCAAAAAGACCAAAAAAAAAAAAAGGAAAAGGAAGAAGAAGAAGAAGAAUAUUGCCGACAAUUACUUCACAAAAAAUCUUAAAAUUAUAAGGUUACUUCUACUCAGACCUCUACGUUAAUUCACCCUAAUAUUAAGAUCCACUUGACUGAAAAAUUUAGCUUCUAGUCUAGUUAUAUAUAAAUGAAGAAAAUAAUUACUAUCCUAGUCCCAAUGGUCUUGGUUUUGUAAAUUGACCUACAAUACAAUAAUAGGUAAUAACUAUUAUGUAAAGUCAGAGUAAAAAUCUACUACUAAUCAAUCAAUUUGCAUUAAUAGUGUAAGUUUUUCUUUUACACUGUCAAGGCAUAAUUAACUUAAAACCUUGUACUAUAUCGAAUAGUACUAACGUACAACAAUCAUUCUACAUGAUUUUCUAUCCUUUUUUUGGCCAAAAUUUUUUUCCACUGGCAUUACCAAUUCUUUAUUAAUAAGUCGAGUUAUGCAAUCAACUUUUUCCUCAAAAUAGGAACAAAAGCAAACGCGCAUACAAUGCAGCCAGAAGUUUUUAAGAUGAGGUUAUGGGAAAAGGAUUUCACUUACGAGUUUAACUUACAUAUACUAAUAAUAUUAUGAUUGACUAUACUACUAAUAUAUUUUAACUUGUCAUAACAGUCAUUACUUUGUUAUAUAAAUAAUUUUAACCCGAUUUGAACUUGAAGAAGCGAGCCCGGUUAACCAGACAAGCUGGAGGGACUUCCAAAGUGUGUAUCUCUUCUUUACUUUUAAGUGACAAGAAGGUAACAAAGGGUUCUCAAAGUAUAUAUCUCUAGUAGUCCUUUCUCCUGUUAAACUCCGUUCAAGUGGCAAGAAGCCAAGUACGGAGUAAUGGACUUCCUUUACUUCGUAACCUUAGCCUGUUAAAAAGUUAUACAUUGUCAAUGCAGAUUAAUUAAGCUUAAUGGAAAAAGGUAUAUAUACUUAACUUAAAUCUAGAGAGAGCAAGUGUAGCCAGGUGGUGGAGUCUUCCCACAGGUAACAAGGAGCUGAAGAGCAAGAGGGACAUAGAUUUUAAGGUUAAGAAGCUUGACUUUAAGUGUUGUGCAAAGGCAAGCAGCAGCUUCAAGUUCCACAAGUCCCUGUAGAAUUGGACAACAUUCAUUAACGGCGGGAUCACCAAUUCCAAUAUGAACUAGCCCACCAAGAAGAUCUACACAAGCUCCAAGUUUUAGUGUGUCAAUUGGGCAUGUUGCCUUUGUUGUUGUUGGUGGAGGGCAUGGUUUUCCUUUUGGGGAUGGUGUAACUGGAGGAACAGUAAUUGGUGGAACUGUCACUGGCGGAAUUCCUAUAGGUGGCAAGUUGAUAGGAGGUUUUACAAUAGGUGGUAUACCAAUUGGUGGCUUAACAACUGGUGGAACUGUCACCGGUGGAAUUCCGAUAGGUGGCUUAAUAACUGGUGGAAUAAUGGGUGGCAAGUUGAUAGGAGGUUUAAUAACCGGUGGAACUGUCACUGGUGGAAUUCCGAUAGGUGGCUUAAUAACUGGUGGAACAACAGGUGGCAAAUUGAUGGGUGGUUUUACAACUGGUGGAACUGUCACUGGUGGAAUUCCGAUAGGCGGCUUAAUAACUGGUGGAACAACGGGUGGCAAGUUGAUGGGUGGUUUUACAAUCGGUGGAACUGUCACUGGUGGAAUUCCAAUGGGUGGCAAAUUGAUAGGGGGUUUAAUACUUGGAGAGGGAGUUUUGGGCUUUUUGGGUUUGUGAGAGGGUUUUCCACAAUAUCCACAACCAAGAAUGGGAGUGAAUGAAGAAAGGAAAAGCAUGGAAAUGAAAAGAAGACAUGUUAUUUUAGAUGACUCCAUUUUCCUACGAGGAAAGGAAAGAAAGAGGG
rnacentral:lncRNA from 1 species